CGGGGCGCAGUUCUCUUCGGGAGAGCGGAGCAGCGCGCGCCUGACCAGGCUGACUGGAAACGGUAGCUCUUAACGGUUCCCCGCCCGUCGGUGGCAAGGCGGCUGGACUAGAAUCCCAGCAGACGACAUGCGAGGAGGCGGGCAACCCAGGAGUGUUGGGCAGAGCAGUGUGGACCUCGCCGCUUCCACAGCGAUGCUGGCUACUGAUCGCGGGCACCUCCUUGCCAUGGGAAGUUUGUGCUGUGCACUAACAUGUAAUUCAAAUACUGAUGAAAACAAAACUGGUGCCCUCCUACCAAGUGGGAAAUUAAUGUUAUGACUGGAUAAAGUCAAUUGUGAAGAAACUGCACUUUGAGGUUGUCUAUCUCCAUAUUCUGAUGGAAAAGCGUGGAAUUUAGAAGCAUUGCUCGCUCCUUCAAUUUCUAACAAGUCAUUCUUGGAGAUACUAGGAAGCCAAGAGUUCCCUCCAAGAAUGGAGAUUCCUUGGAAGUGAGGUUCACCUUGAGUCAAGAAAGAUGAAUCACAUGUGGUCAAAGGUCAUUCAGGGUCUCAAGAACAGCCAGAAAGAAGAGCUGGGGCCGACGGGAUUGUGGGGGUCCUCUCUCCCUCUCUCCCACCUGAAAAGCUACUGCUGCCUGCCAAUCCUCUCAAGAGGAGACCUCUCUGGGCUCCAGCACCUAAAACAGACAAACCUGGGAGGAUGCUUUUCUCUUCUGUGUCACACGUGUCCUGGAGAAAACCAGUGUAUCUGAAUGACCAAAGAAAAGUGUGAGAAAAAGUACAAAAUCUGUGCCAGGCCAUUCAGGCCAGUGUCUGGAUGGGGCUCUGUGGUACACAUGCAUUCCAAGAAGACUGGAGAGUGCCAAGCCUGUGGGAAAUGUCCCUCAGACCUGCCUCUCACACCUGGAGUAUGACUGCCGGUCCAGGUUCAUGAUGCAGAACUGUCUUUAAAAGGUGACUGCGGAUAUGGAGAGAGGGAUUUCUAACCCUGAUAGAACAUGACCAGCUGUUUCACUGGGGAAAGCCACAUCCACCAGUGACAUGCUGCUCAAACUGGCCCAGGACACACUCUACUACCUAAGGAAUAAGCCCCACAUUUGCUCUUUGUGGGUGAAAGGAGAGGGUGAGAGAGGAGAGGAGUGUCCACACAGACAUGAGAAGCCUGCAGAUCCAGAUGACCCCUUGCUGAUCAGAAUAUGAAAGAUGGACUUGUGAAAACAAUGACCCCAUAGCAGACAGAUAAGCUUCUAGAGCAGGCUUCAACCAUGCGUCAUCCAGACCCACUGGCGGAGAAGUCUGCCCCCACUCUAUGUUGAUGGUCUGGGGGAUACCAUUACUGAGACAGAUUUAAGAAAUAAUCUACCUGUUGGUGAGAUCUGGAUGGUUACUGUUGUGCAGAGACAGCAGUGUGCUCUCAUCAGCUUUCCACAGGGGAGGCUGCGGAAAUGGCCACUGAGAAGUCCUUUUGUAAAUUCAUUGUCCAUGACUGCAGACUCACCAUCAAAUGGAAGAAGAUUCCAAGCUCUCAAAGAAAAGGAAAAAGAGAAGGAUGGAACUGCAGACUCUGGGAUCCUGCCAGAGCCUAUUUCAGUGCUGCCAGGAGCUCCUUCUCCCCCUGCAGCUCUGGUCUCCACCUUGGAGCCUCCUUCCAAGGAGUGAGACUACCUUUCUGACUUUUUCUGACCAUAGAAAACUUUUCUGACUUUUUCUGUCCUUGGCACCUGCUGAGGACAGCAGACCCAGGGACUCAGUCUCCUGGGCCCAUUCUUGCCCAGCUUCUUCUUGAUCAUGUGACUUGAAGGCAUUCUUGUGCAGUGGAAGCAGGGCCCCAGGACCAUGUGAUAGAUCAAUGGUCUCUGGCUUCUGCCCCACUGAUGGUCAGAUGGUGGCCACUCAGGGUGUGAGAGCCCAGCCAUCGCUGCUUCCUUGAGUUGAAGAGGUUGGAGGCUGGUCCACCUGCUCCUAUCCCACCCUCAGCGAUGUGGAUGGUUGCUCCUUGAGCCUGGUAACAUCUCUGCCUUGGCCUUGCCAGGCAUGCCCUGACUUGGAGGGCCCUGCGUACCCACACACUACUUUAAGGGGCUUGCCCUUCCUUGGGCCAAAUUCUAAUUUUGGCCAGUGCCCCGGGAAGCUCAGUCCCCUGUUUCGUUAUCUUGGCUAUUUCUGGGGCUCCCAUGGUUCUCCUGGGUCCCUUUUCUCCCAGGGCUUGGGCUGGGCUGGGCAUCUGUAGGUCUGGGAUGUUUGCCCUGUGAGCGAGGCUCUGUCACACAAGUGGGCAGGCAUGGGGACAUGUGAUAGGCACUGGCUGGCUAGGGCUCUGCAGAUGCCACAGUCCUUCUGCCCUCCAGCAGCCUCUGAGUUCAGCUUCCCCAUUGACACUGAUUUCACCCAGUUGAGGAGCUGUCUGGGGUUGUCUGGGUGCUGUCUUGGCUCCUUUAAGGCUGUGCUGCUCCGUGGCCCCUGAGAAAGGUCAGGUCCAGGUGCCACCAUGCAAGGGGAGUAUCUAUGGCCCUGCCGCUGGGGUUUCAGUGGGCUGGGCAAGGCCUGGUUGUGGGGGCCCUGAUGGGGUUCAGGGCCAGGGCCUGUCCUAUGGUCCUGGGGGUGUCCAGGGAAGAUGAAAGAACAAGGGUUCAGCAUCCCUGCUCAAAGCUGCACUGUGGACACCAUGAGCCCCGGAUGUCGAGAUCCAUGGGGAGUUUGGGAGAGAAUUUCAACACAGAACUCACCAAAAAUCCCAUGGUCUAUCCUGAGAUGGGAACAGACUUGCCACAUCUUGAGCCACUGGGCCCCCAGAGAGUGACCUGCUGUCCUGGGCUCUACAGAAUUCUCAUGCUGCUGGGCCUUGGCCUCAGGUCAGCUUCUGGGCUUCUGGAGCUGGGCUGGUGGGCCAGCCUGUCCCCCUUGGGAAGGGUCUCCAUGCUGAGGGACACCCGCAGAGGCCUGGGUGCCACAGACACUCGCUCCAGAACCAGGGCCUUCCUAGGGAUCUUUGUGUGUUUAGCUGAAUGGAAAGCAAACUUGGUCCACUUCUCCCCCAAACCCACCUGACCCUUGUACGGUUUGGGUUUUUGGAGUCUUGGGGUCUCUAGGAACCCACCUGGUCUGACACUGAAGAAACACUACAGGCUGCUGAUCCCACAGUGAGGGGUGUGUGCUGCCUGGGGUAUGGGCACUUGUGAGGGUCCUUACUGAUUUCACAGUGACAGAUGUGUACCACCUGGGAUAUGGGUGCUUGUGAGUGAGGGUACCUGCUGGCUCUCGUGAGUGAGGGUCCCUGCUGAUCCCACAGUGAGGGGUGUAUGCCACCUGGGGUAUGGGCACUUGUGAGUGAGGGUCCCUAGUGAUUUCACAGUGAGGGGUGUGUGCUGCCUGGGGUAUGGGAACUCAUGAGUGGGGACCCCUGUUUCUCUCUGGCCCUGUUGGUGCUUGCAGCUGUGGGUGUGGGCUGGCACAGAUGGGACUGAACCCUCUAGGGCCCUCCAGGAUUCUUCUAGGGCAGGAGGGGAAGGGUGUGGUGGGGGGCUUGGAGGGGUCUUGCCCUCAUCCCCUGCCCUGUUACUGAGGUGAGUCCAACACCUGCCCUGGGGCCCAGCUGGCCUGUUUUUAGAAGCUUCUUAGAGAAGGAAGAGGAGGAGGAGAAGGAAGGCCUGGGGAGCAGGGAUGGAGGGUCCUGGGCACUCCCCACUGUUUACUGUCUUAGAUGGUGACUCAGAGGAGACCUGGUGCUCGAGACCACCUGGGGGCAUGUCACAGUGCAUCCUUCUGAGCUCAGCCAUGGAGGCCUAAAAGUGCCUGAGAACCACAUCAUCAUCCAGAGCCCAGGUCUGGGACAGUGCGUCUUGGGAGAGCUCCCACAGGACAAACAGGAGAGCUUCAGGAGAGGGUCUAGGUUUGGGGCUGGGCAUCAGGCCAGGGGGGGGUUUCCUGGGAGGGGUCUGUGCCUUCACCCUGUUUCUGCCCUGGGCACAUUGCACUGGGCAGUGCUGGGUCCUUUCUGGACACCCUUGGGGGCCAGCUCUGCACAGGAGGCAACGGAUACGGGAAGGUCUAGGCAGGCAAGUGCUCGCCACACUCCUGCCUUUCAUCUGAGUUGUGUCAGGGGUAGGUUCAGUUUCCAGGAGGACUCAUGGUGCCCUCUCCAGCCCACCAGAGUUGGAUUGGUUUGGCCCUCCCUCAGGGCUAAAGCGGAGGGUCCUGUGGGCAGUGUGGGUACUGCCCUUGGGCCAGGUUUGAUGUGCUUGUGUGCUCCCCCAGCACCCUCGGGCACGUGGGGACCGGGUUCUGUGCACUUUCAAUGCCAUAUGUGCCCUGGCUGUGAGCAUGUGCUUGCCCUGCAGAAAGCACAUGUACCAGAGCCUCAGGAUGAGCUUGUGAUUAGCUUGAAGUAGGAAUUUAUGGGGACAGCAGGCAUGGGAGGACCUGGUCCUUCAAGGUGGAGGGCUGGUGGCCUGAGCAGGGAAUACUAGAACCUCAGUCUGUGGUGCUGGGGGCCCCCUAUGCAUGGGAUGAGACCUCCCACAUUAGGCUGGAUCAGAUAAGAUCUUGCAGCUUCUUAUAGGGGUGGUCUCAUCUCCAUCAAAUGUGGGCCCUGAAAGAAGGGCCUCCCCAAGUACUCUCCCAAGAUGAGUCUUGGCCCAGUCUGCCCAGGAUGCCGGCCCUGAGUCCCAGCCCCAGUCGUGUGAUGCCCCCUCUCAGACAGGGCAUGGCUUGUGUGCCCUGCAGGGACCUGCUUCUGCCUCCUGUGCAGAGAAAGGGAGCUGGGUCCUUCUGGAGGAGCCAGACCCCUCAGCUGGGGAAGCCAGGCCCUGUAGGGCAGCAGGGUCUCUGGCCUGGGGUCUCCUGUGCACACUUGUCCCAUCAAGCACUGUAGGAGUCAUUUUAAGGUGAUAAUCUGGGUACACAACAUUUGCUUGUCUUCAUGGAAUGAGCAGAGGUGUUCAGAGCCCCCUGGACUGCUCUGAAAACCUCAAUAUUCCAGGCCCCUCUGCAGACCCUUCCCAAGGCCAGAAUUCCAAGCAGUUGGCUGGGCUGUCACCCUCUUCUCUGAGACACUACCCUUGUCCUGAGACCUCCCCAUUGCCCCUCAGAUGCCCCAUCCCUCCAGAAUGCCCACCUCCCCGGGGACCCUCCACGCCCCACACGCCUUACUUGAUGCAGCAGCGCUCUCUGAACAGGGUGUGGCUUAUGAAGGUGUGGCUCACAUCUAGGUCAUUCUGGUGCACAUUCACUGAGGACAUCUGGGCCUGCUUCAUUUUCUGUAGAGUACGGCCAAGCCUCAGAACAGACACAAGACUCACUGUCAAAACUGCUGUCAUGAAACAGUAGUUCUGGAAGGAAAAGAGGCUUUUUCUGCAGAAACUUCAUUUCCAAAGCCAGGGAAAAUCAGCAGUGUGCAGCUCACCUGUGUUGCCCACGCCACUGUCUGCCCAGGAUUUGUGACUGACCCCUUCCGCCCCCUUGGGGUUGACUUUCCCUCCAUCUGGGUAACUGGGCUUCUGACACGUUCUGGCCUAUGCAUCCUGCUCUGGCUGGGACUGGAAGGACCAGACCUGGUGUUUCCCUGGGUUCUUGUCCUUCUCCUUCUUGACAUUCAGUAGGGGUGACCAUGCUGGGCCCCAGACCUCUGUGAGGAUUCCUUUGUAGACCCAAUAAGACAUCUGUGGACAGACGAAUGCUCUGGUGAGACAGGCCUCAGGGUGACCCCAAGGGGGAUCCAAACCUAAGGAUUCUGGAAGUUUCCAGCCUUUGGCUCCACAGUUCCUCAGGGGAGGUUUGUCUACCUAGGCCUGGGCUUCCCUUCCCAUGAAUAAAGAGUGAGCAAGAGCUCAGG
ensembl:lncRNA